CGAUCGACUCACAGCGUCUAGCACAUUCUGCGGAUCGAGGCCGACUAGAGCCGAGGUCUGCCGAACUCCCCUCGCAAGCUUAGUGGACUCGCCCGACCCGCUCGAGGUUAGGAGGGGAGGGGGUAACGGUAGAGAAAGAGUAUCAGAAGGGGAAGGGAGAAACUCUCAACGGUACGUGCGCCGCGCAUACAACGGAGAGAGAAAGAUAGAGAAAGCAAAAGAAGGAGAGUGUGAUUGAGUGACCGAGGACGAGAAGGGUGGGGAGAAGAGGGAGAGAAGAGCAAGCGCAAUGGAGGUAGAAAAGAGAGACGGCGCGACCAGGAGCGCCGUCCUCGGAACAAGAAAGCUGCCUGCCUGCUUGCCUGCCUGCCGCCUGCCUGCUAGCCAGCCACCCCAAGUUCCCUUCUAGGCGGUGUUUUAAUGGCCGAGUGGCGCUUACCAUCGUCGGUGAUUCGUCAAGCAUGCAUUCGCCUUGUAGACACCCGGUAGACGAGCAACUACCCACCUUAUAUAUUUUGGACUGUACUAUUGAGAAUAUUACGGGGCAACUUGAUGUGGCUCGUAAGCGUUUGCGUUGGGACUAUGGCACACCUUGAAGAGGCACAUCGAUACACCUGAAUGAAUCACUGACCAUCCAUGCAGCACAGAAUCGAGAAGCCUCGAUCCCCUUAUCCGCUCAUCUGGGGUGGAACCGUCACCCCCUUCUUCCAGAGUUUCUGCUCGACCAACGAACAGAAACUUCAAACUCACUAUUUUUUAUAUUAGCCAUAUAAUAGCCGGUAUUAAAUUAUAAUAUUACAGUUUUAGAUAAAGUAUAACAAUUUGAAUUAUUUUUUAAGGAGCAGUAGAGAGCGAUGAAUCGAUACGAAGUAAAUUUCUUUUAUAUUAAUGUUUUAACGAUUUGUAGAAUUUUAUGUGCCUUGGUCGCUUAUAGAAAUGUCUAUCUCUUGAUCUAUG
rnacentral:misc_RNA from 1 species